AGGAAGCUUGUCGUGCUGAUAUUUUGGGUGGAGGAUUGUUGAAAGCCGCUAUCGAUUUUGGCAAGAUGUGCGGUAUAUUUGCAUAUCUGAAUCAUUUGGUACCAGCAACAAGGAAGGAAAUUCUGGAAAUUCUCUUCAGUGGCGUGAGAAAGCUCGAAUACAGAGGUUAUGAUUCUUUUGGAAUUGGGGUGGAUAUAGGACAAGACACUGAUGAAACAUAUUCCAUUAAAGUGGUCAAGAACAAAGGCAAAGUGUCACUGAUAAAGGAACAGAUAUCAUUGCACGAGGACCUAAAUCUAGACAUGACCUACGAUGUUCACUGCGGAAUUGCUCACACCCGAUGGGCCACACACGGAGCACCUUCCAUGGUCAACAGUCACCCACAACGAUCGGACCCAACCCACGAGUUUAUUGUCGUACACAAUGGAAUCAUCACCAACUUCAAAGUCAUUAAGCUGUUCUUGGAAGCGAGAGACUUUGUGUUUGAGUCUGAAACCGACACAGAGGUCAUCCCAAAGCUCAUCAAGCACCUGUAUGACAACAACAAAGACAAGAACUUUAGAGAGUUGGUGGAGAUGACCGUCAUGCAACUGGAAGGGGCCUUUGCUUUGGUGUUCAAAAGUCGGCAUUUUCCCGGUGAAUGUGUGGCCACAAGACGUGGCAGUCCUAUGUUAGUCGGUGUUAAAACUUCUACCAAAUUUACAGCUGACCACAUUCCAGUAUUCUUCAGGAAAGAUGGACAGGGCAAGCCUGUCUCCAGACAAGACAGUUUCAUGGAAUUUCACCCAAUGGGCCCAAACAGACAGGUGGAGUACUUCAUUUCUUCGGAUCCAAGUGCUAUUAUUGAAUACACAAACCGUGUAAUAUACUUGGAAGAUGAUGAUGUGGCUGCCGUGUCAGAUGGUUGCUUAACGAUCCAUCGCCUGGAAAGUGGGCAGGCUGACAGCAGUGUCAGAGAGGUGACCACUUUGCAAGCAGAGAUACAGCAAACUCUCAAAGGCAAUUUCAGUUCAUUUCUUCAGAAGGAAAUUUUUGAACAGCCAGAGUCAGUGAUCAACACCUUGAGAGGGCGUGUGGACUUCAAAAAGAACAAAGUGAUCCUGGGUGGCCUGACAGACUACAUGCGGGACAUCCGAAGAUGCCGGCGACUUAUUUUCAUUGGCUGUGGGACAAGCUAUCACAGUGCUAUGGCAUCUCGUCAGCUGAUGGAGGAAAUGACAGAACUGCCUGUGGUGGUGGAGAUGGCCAGCAAUUUCCUAGACAGAAGCGUGCCUGUCUUCAGAGAUGACGUUUGCUUCUUUCUCAGUCAGUCAGGUGAGACUGCAGACACGUUACUGGCCCUAAGAUACUGUCGGAAACGUGGCGCUAUUAUUGUUGGUGUCACAAACAUAGUGGGCAGCAGCAUAUCAAAGGAGUCGCACUGUGGAAUACAUAUCAAUGCUGGACCUGAGAUAGGGGUAGUCAGUACAAAGGCAUUCACCAGUCAGUUCAUAGCCUUAGUGCUGUUUGCCUUACUCAUGAGUGAAGACAGAUUAUCUAUGCAGCCUAGAAGAGCAGAGAUUAUCACUGCUCUGAAGCAGCUAUCAGAUCAAAUAAAAGAAGUGCUUAAGGUGGAUGAACACAUUCAUUCCUUGGCUGAGGAACUUUAUCAACAAAGAAGUGUUCUGGUCAUGGGCAGAGGUUAUAACUACUCUACCUGUCUGGAAGGAGCACAGAAAAUCAAGGAGUUGACAUACAUGCAUUCUGAAGGAAUUAUGGCUGGAGAACUGAAACAUGGUCCGUUAGCCCUGAUAGACAAAGCCAUGCCUGUCAUUAUGAUUGUCACCAGAGAUCACGUCUAUUCUAAAUGCAUGAAUGCUCUACAACAAGUCACAGCAAGACAUGGCCGCCCAAUCCUGAUUUGUUGCCAAGGUGAUGAGGAGACCAAGAAAUUCGGCCACAAGUUUCUGGAGGUGCCUCACACUGUGGACUGCUUACAGAGUAUACUUACCACAAUUCCCCUGCAGCUGCUAGCCUUCCACAUUGCUGUCCUUAAAGGAUAUGAUACUGACCAGCCUCGGCAUCUUCUCAAAACGUACACCAUUAAAGACGAUUAGACGCCUCCUCAAAAUGUACACGAAGGCCGAUCAGAUGCAUUUCCUCAUAAAGUAUGCUUAGAUGCAUUUCCUCAUCGAAGAUAAUUAAAUGCAUCUCCUAAUCAGAGACAGUCCAGUGCAUCUCCUCAUCAGAGAGAGUCCGGUGCAUCUCCUCAUCAGAGACAGUCCGGUGCAUCUCCUCAUCAGAGACAGUCCGGUGCAUCUCCUCAUCAGAGACAAUUAUAUGCAUAUUCUCAUCAGAGACAUUUACCACAUACUGCUCAAUUCAAUUCAGGUACUUAUCAGUGUUUUAAGUGGGCGUUGUCCGCAGAGCGUCUACCUAAAGGCUUGUUACCUCUGAAUGGAAUACCACCUCAACUACCCCAGACCGGCCCGGAUAGCACAGUUGGUAGAGCGUCUGCUUCGGGACCGGUAGAUCCAGGAUCAAUCCUUGGUUGAGUCACACCUAAGACUUUAAAAGUUGUAACUUCCUCGCUUGGCGUUCAGCAUGAAGGGGAUAGUGCAAUGACUGGUUGACCCGUAUCAGUAUAAUGGCUCGGGCGGGGCGGCUUACUUGCCUUCGGUAAGUCGUCUCAGUGAUGCAGCACUAAAUAAAAGAGCGGUGGAAAUCCGUCCUGCAACAAGGAGGCACAUUACACGUGCAUGCACCCUAAUGAUUCCUUCGUCGUCAUAUGACUGAAAAAUUGUUGAGUACGACGUUAAACCCCAAGCACUCACUCACUCAACUACCCCAGACUGAAGGUAGACUGAAGAUGUAAUAUGAUAUUAAACUGUCUUUUCUGGAAUCCAAACAAAACAAAGCAGGGCUAUGCGUUAACCUGAAUUAUGGGGAGAUAACAGUAAGGAGACAGGGGCAUGUAAUUACCUCUAUUGUAGAAAGACCAUAUAUUUUAGAGGGGUUGGGGGUGGAUAACAGGUGUAUGCAAUAACCUAACUUGUAGAGAGAACAUAGGGAGGG